rnacentral:misc_RNA from 1 species
UUAAGUUCAGCGGGUAGUCCUACCUGAUUUGAGGUCAGAGUCAAAAAUUGCCCGAGGGCGAUUGUAAGCAGUCAUCACAACCUUCACCGACGAAACUUAUUACGCCGACUACGGUGCUAUCCCGCUAACUCAUUUGAGGUGAGCCACAACUAAAGCAGCAACACCCAAGUCCACCGCUCCUAAUCCAAAACGAAUUAGAA